rnacentral:rRNA from 1 species
UCGCCUGUUUAUCAAAAACAUCGCCUUUUGAAGUAUAUAAAAGGUCCAGCCUGCCCAGUGACCAUGUUCAACGGCCGCGGUAUCCUAACCGUGCGAAGGUAGCGUAAUCACUUGUUCUUUAAAUGAGGACUAGUAUGAAUGGCACCACGAAGGUUAUACUGUCUCCUUUUUCUAAUCAGUGAAACUAAUCUUCCCGUGAAGAAGCGGGAAUCUACAUAUAAGACGAGAAGACCCUAUGGAGCUUUAAACGAAAUAACAACUACCACAUUUAAUACUAAUUUCAGAAGUUUAAAUAUUACCCAGGUAUUUUGUUUAUUAGUUUUAGGUUGGGGUGACCGCGGAGCAAAAAACAACCUCCGCACUGAACGGGACAACCCUAAACAAAAAGCUACAACUUUAUGUAUCAGCACACUGACACUAAUUGACCCAAUAAUUUGAUCAACGAACCAAGUUACCCUAGGGAUAACAGCGCAAUCCAUUUCAAGAGCCCCUAUCGACAAAUGGGUUUACGACCUCGAUGUUGGAUCAGGGUCUCCUAGUGGUGCAGCCGCUACUAAUGGUUCGUUUGUUCAACGAUUAAAACCCUACGUGAUCUGAGUUCAGACCGGA